CCUACGGGAGGCAGCAGUGAGGAAUAUUGGUCAAUGGACGCAAGUCUGAACCAGCCAAGUAGCGUGCAGGAUGACGGCCCUCCGGGUUGUAAACUGCUUUUAUUUGGGAAUAAAAUGGGGCUCGUGAGCCCCGUCUUGUAUAUACCAUCAGCAAAAGGACCGGCUAAUUCCGUGCCAGCAGCCGCUGUAAUGCGGAAGGUCCGGGCUUUAUCCGGAUUUAUUGGGUUUAAAGGGUGCGUAGGCGGAUCGUUAAGUCAGGGGGCAAAUUGCGGGGCUCAACCCCUUCCCGCCAUUGAAACUGGCGCUCUUGAGUGGAAGAGAAGUAGGCGGAAUGCGUGGUGUAGCGGUGAAAUGCAUAGAUAUCACGCAGAACCCCGAUUGCGAAGGCAGCAUGCCGGCUUCCGACUGACGCUGAAGCACGAAAGCGUGGGGAUCGAACAGGAUUAGAUACCCGAGUAGUC
rnacentral:rRNA from 1 species